rnacentral:rRNA from 1 species
UACGUAGGGGGCGAGCGUUGUCCGGAUUUAUUGGGCGUAAAGAGCGUGUAGGCGGCCAGGUAGGUCCGUUGUGAAAACUCGAGGCUCAACCUCGAGACGUCGAUGGAAACCAUCUGGCUAGAGUCCGGAAGAGGAGAGUGGAAUUCCUGGUGUAGUGGUGAAAUGCGCAGAUAUCAGGAGGAACACCGGUGGCGAAGGCGGCUUCCUGGACCGACACUGACGCUGAGGCGCGAAAGCUAGGGGAGCAAACGGG